rnacentral:rRNA from 1 species
GACGAACGCUGGCGGCGUGCUUAACACAUGCAAGUCGAACGGAAAGGCCUGCUUUCCCUUGUGGAUUGCGGGUACUCGAGUGGCGAACGGGUGAGUAACACGUGAGUGAUCUGCCCCCAACUUGGGUAUAAGCCUGGGAAACUGGGUCUAAUUCCCGAUAGGACUGCAGGGUGGUGCCUGUGGUGGAAAACGAUUUUCUAGUGGUUGGGGAUGAGCUCGCGGCCUAUCAGCUUGUUGGUGGGGUAAUGGCCUACCAAGGCGGCGACGGGUAGCCGGCCCGAGAGGGUGGACGGCCACAUUGGGACUGAGAUACGGCCCAGACUCCUACGGGAGGCAGCAGUGGGGAAUCUUGCACAAUGGGCGGAAGCCUGAUGCAGCGACGCCGCGUGGGGGAUGACGGCCUUCGGGUUGUAAACUCCUUUCGACCGCGAGGAAGCCACCUGGUUGGAAGGGUGGUGACGGUAGUGGUAGAAGAAGCACCGGCUAACUACGUG